rnacentral:rRNA from 1 species
UACGAGGGGGGCGAGCGUUGUUCGGAAUUAUUGGGCGUAAAGGGUGCGUAGGCGGUUUGGUAAGUCUCGUGUGAAAUCUCCGGGCUCAACUCGGAGCCUGCACGAGAAACUGCCGGGCUUGAGUGUGGGAGAGGUGAGUGGAGUUCCUGGUGUAGCGGUGAAAUGCGUAGAUAUCAGGAGGAACACCUGUGGCGAAAGCGGCUCACUGGACCAUAACUGACGCUGAUGCACGAAAGCUAGGGGAGCAAACAGG